AUACGUAGGGGGCGAGCGUUGUCCGGAAUGAUUGGGCGUAAAGGGCGCGUAGGCGGCGCGGUAAGUCUGGAGUGAAAGUCCUGCUUUCAAGGUGGGAAUUGCUUUGGAUACUGCCGCGCUUGAGUGCAGGAGAGGUUAUCGGAAUUCCCGGUGUAGCGGUGAAAUGCGGAGAGAUCGGGAGGAACACCUGUGGCGAAGGCGUCUUCCUGGGACAAUACUGACGCUCAUGUGCGAAGGCAAGGGGAGCGAAGGGGAGUUGAUACCCCGGUAGUCCUAGCCGUAAACGAUGGAUACUAGGUGUGGGUGUCGCAGGGCAUCCGUGCCGCAGCUAACGCGUUAAGUAUCCCGCCUGGGGACUACGGUCGCAAGACUGAAACUCAAAUGAAUUGACGGGG
rnacentral:rRNA from 1 species